AGAAGUACUGGGAUUUGAGAGAACGUUUUUAUGACAGGCCAGAGUGCUAAAAAAUAACUAAACCAGUGCAAUCUCCAGGCACAAUCAACAUCUAGGUCUCCUGGAAUUUGGUUGACUGCAAAACAACUGGCUUACUUGGGGUGUGUAACAGGAUGAAGGCAGUAAACGGUGCAUACUCACAGGUGCCCGUGGAGGCCAGAAGAGGGCAUUUGAUCCUCUGGAACUGGAGCUUAAGCGUUCGUGAGCAGCCCAUUGUGGGAGUGGGAACCAAAGCCAGGUCCUCUGGAAGCAUAGCAAAUGGGAGGAGUGGGCCCUGGUUCCUGAGCCUGAGAGAGCUACUUGAAGAGCUACAACUCACUGAGAAACAUACAGUGGUGAGGCAAGUGAUUUGGCUCUAACACAGCCCGCCGGAGUCCCUCUGUGGUCACUGACUUGCUAUAUGAAGCCGCUUGAGUGGAGGAAGCGUGGCGGACUGCUCAUCAAAUGAGGCCGGGAUGCCACUCAGCUGGGAGGUGUUUUGAGAAGGGGAUCUGUUUUUGUCUCAGCAGCUAGAACAUAGUGCACACAGAGGAGUCAUGAUAUAGGUAUUUUGUGAAUGUAUGAAUUCCUGUUUUCUUGCGGUUCAGUUAGAUUCUGUCCCUGCUGAUCAAAGGAAGUCAUUUCACACUCUCUCUUUGUGGAGGCAAAUGGACUGGAGCUCCGUCAUCCACGACUUCAUCGGGAGCCCUUCCACGCUGAUGCAAACGGGGGCAAUUUCAGUCUGACCUCAGGAUCAGUAUUUGGAUGUUGAAGUCCCUUCUGGAGAUCUCAUCCUUGGCCUUGGUUCACAGGACAAAUGCUGAUGGAGCUCAGUCAGAGAUAAUCAGAGGGUGGAAUGACUUCACCCAAGACCGCACAGCUAGACACAAGCAAGCUGGAUUGGAGCUCUGAGGGGUCCACGUGCAGUUCAGGAUGGCUGCCUCUCCAAGGACCAAGGGUAUUACCCUGUAGAGAAGUUGUUGAGCUCAAACCAGGAAAGGGUGAUUUUUGUUUUUGUUUUAUUUUAUUAUUAUUAUUUUUUUUAUGUCAAGCCUGUUGUUGGCUUUAGGGAAAUGGACAGAGGUACAUAAAACAUGGGCUCCAGGACUGGCAAACACAAAUGGUCAAGUGACUUUUAUAUCCAUGGACAAUGAGAACAUGAAGAUACCAAAGCAGCAGAUGAUGGAGUCUUGGGAUAGUGUCUUCUCCUCCCCACCCCCCAUCAUGCUGGGCAUCAAGGCCAGGACCGUGUGCAUAGUAGGUAUACACUCUAUCUUUGGACUACAUCCUCAGCGUUGGCACAGUGCUUAGGAAAAAUGAUUUAUCUGACUCAUUAUCCUCAAGAGCAGGUGUGUCUCCUCUACCAAAAAUGGGCCACACCCCCAUUCUUGCUCUCUGUAUACUCGGUUGAAAAAGUCAGUGUCAAAAUCCAAGAGCCAGCAGCACUGGUGUGGCUUUUCAGAGUUACUGCCAUGUCUGGGACACUUGGGUCAUCCUCAUAACUCUAGAAGCUAAUUAUAUUAAUAUUCAUGGAGAGCAAGAGCCUGUGUAAAGGGGAUUCAGAGUUCCAUUGUCUCAGCGCACUUUGAUAUUAAAUGAAUAAGUAAUGUGGAUUACAUCUAAAUGAAAUAAGCACGUCAGCAUUGUUCUUUUUAAGUCAACAAUUUGAGCUUUUUAAAAACACUCAUUAUUAAAGGUUACAGACGUAUUCUUUUUUUCCUAUGCUUCAAUCAAGAAUGUAAUAUUAAUCUACCAUUAGCCGAGCAAUGCUAUUGCUGUUUUCCUUACAUCUGGUCCACUCUUAUCACCUCUGGAAAUAGGAGAAGAGUUAAGAUUGCUGGAGUAUUACUCUAGGCAAGCUUGCCAUUCCUUUGUUCUUUUUGUAAGUGAUUAUGCAUGUAUGUCUGUCAUUGUCUCCAUAUUCCCCUGAAUUUCUUUGUACAGAGCUGAGCUGAGCAAAUAAAGCAGGGCAAAACAUGA